UGAAGAAGAGGGAAUAUCUACAAACUGAUUUUUAAGGUCAAUGUUACCCUCAUAUCAAAGCGAGACAAGAACACCACAAAACAAACAAACAAACAAAAAAACUAUAGGCCAAUAUUCCUGAUGAACAUAGAGGCAAAAAUUCUUAGCAAAAUACUAGCAAACCAAAUUCAACAGCACAAUAAAAAGAUAAUUCACCACAAUCAAGGGGAAUUUAUCCCAGAGUUACAAGAAUGGUUUAACAUACAUAAAUCAACGAAGGACAAAACCAAUAUAAUUAUGUCAAUAGGUGCAGAAAAAGCUUUUGACAAAAUUCAGCAUUCUUUCAUGAUAAAAAACUCUUAAGUUAGGUAUAGAAGGAAAUGUACCUGAACACAGUAAAGGCCAUAUAUGAUAAAACCACAGCUAACAUCAUACUCUGUGGGGAAAAGUUGAAAGCUUUUCUUGUAAGAUAAGGAACAAGACAAGAUUGAAUUUACCGUAGUACUAGAAAUCCUAGAAAAGUUGUUAGGCAAGAAGAAUAAAAAAAAGGCAUCCAAAUUGGAAAGAAAGAAGUUAAAUUGUCUCUGUUGGAAGACAAUAUGAC
rnacentral:lncRNA from 1 species